rnacentral:sRNA from 1 species
AGAUAUGAGGAUCUGGCGGUGACAUCUGUCACCCCAUGGAUCACCAGGGUUGAUUUGGCUAAUCUUGCUGGCUAGGUAGGUGUCCCCUUCCUCCUGCACUGCUCCAUGGGCAUCUCUCCUGAAUCUGCAUGCUUGGUCAAAGUGGACAGCCUUCCCCACGUAGAGGAUGACUGGUCUUCACUCAAAGGCAUAUGAGGGGCUGUGCUCCCCUGACAGAACCUCUAACAAGCUCUCAAGAACACAACUUUAUCCCUACAGAGUCCAAGACACAGGCACGGAACCGUGAAUGGUGAGUGU